rnacentral:rRNA from 1 species
UACGUAGGGUGCAAGCGUUGUCCGGAAUUAUUGGGCGUAAAGAGCUCGUAGGCGGUUUGUCGCGUCUGCUGUGAAAACUCAGGGCUUAACCCUGAGCCUGCAGUGGGUACGGGCAGACUAGAGUGCGGUAGGGGUGACUGGAAUUCCUGGUGUAGCGGUGGAAUGCGCAGAUAUCAGGAGGAACACCGAUGGCGAAGGCGGUUCUCUGGGCCUGUGACUGACGCU